GUUCAACGGCCGCGGUAUCCUAACCGCGCGAAGGUAGCAUAAUCACUUGUUCUUUAAAUGAGGACUUGUAUCAACGGCAUCACGAGGGCUACACUGUCUCCUUUUUCCAAUCAGUGAAACUGAUCUCCCCGUGAAGAAGCGGGGAUUCAAAUAUAAGACGAGAAGACCCCAUGGAGCUUUAAAUUACGUACCUAAUUUAUGUAAAAAUACCAAUAAAACUAAAAAAUCUAAGUACCAUUUUAGGUUGGGGCGACCACGGAGUAUAACUUAACCUCCACAACAAAUAGGCCACACCUUUACCCACGAGCUACACCUCUAAGAAUUAAUAUAUUAAUGUUUAAUGACCCGAACAUUCGAUCAAUGAACCAAGUUACCCUGGGGAUAACAGCGCAAUCUAUUUCAAGAGUUCUUAUCGACAAAUAGGUUUACGACCUCGAUGUUGGAUCAGGGUAUCCAAGUGGUGCAGCCGCUACUUAUGGUUCGUUUGUUC
rnacentral:rRNA from 1 species